AUUCAUACCUCCAUACAGGAGCAACACAAUUACCAGCAACUCAGUGCGUAAAAUCCAUAGGCGAUGCGGCUUUAUAAGGAAUACGCUCCAGAAAUGAAGUGGAAAUAACGUGAACUGAUGGUGUCAACAGAAGCAUAUACCAUCGAUUAACAACCUCAAAGGUUACGGUGUCUAUUGGCCUGGGUCAGCAUGAACUCCCCAUCACUUUUUAAAGCAGAUAAUUGCAGGUUGAGUAGAAGAGACCAUCUCGAGGAAGCUACAACAUUAAUUCAUUAAAUCCUCCAACCCAUGGAUCUCACCAUGAACACUCUAAUUUAGGAUAGCGUGGCCUCCAAAGUUACUUUAUUACACUUUUGGAUCCAUUGUAUUUAAGGAUUCUUUUGGAUGCAAAGUAUGCCAAGUUGGAAAUAGGGGCCAUGCUGAAAUGGCGAAGAGAAUAUUCUUGGAUUAUGUCCUGUCCUAAAAAAAAAUAUGGCUCUGGAAGCGUUGGCCAUUGAUUAAAAGGUUUGAAGACUCCAUACAUCACUUACGGAAUAACUGCAAUGGGAUUGUUGAGACCAGAGAA